rnacentral:lncRNA from 1 species
CGGGCCUCCGUUGGGAAGCGCUGAUGGAUCCGAGACCGAAAGUGUGCCAUCGAGACUUCAUGCUGGACCAUCUACCACUUCCUCAGGAUCACGAACGGAUCCGCAAGUGCUUGCCUUUAUGGAGAGGAUAUUGCCAA